UCCCAGGUAGUAUAUCGGCUAGUAUCCCCGCCUGUCAUUCGGCAGUCCGCGGGAGAGCCCGGUUCGACUCCGGGCCUGGGAG